ensembl:misc_RNA Metazoa_SRP Metazoan signal recognition particle RNA
GCCGGGCAUGGUGGCACGUGCCUUAGUCCCAGCUACUCGGGAGGCUGAGGUGGGAGGAUGGCUUGAGCCCAGAAGUUCUGGGCUGUAGUGCACUAUGCUGAUCUGGUGUCCGCACUAAGUUCAGCAUCAAUAUGGUGACCUCCGGGGAGCGGGGGACCACCAGGUUGCCUAAGGAGGGGUGAACUGGCCCAGCUCGGAAACGGAGCAGGUCAAAACUCCAGUGCUGAUCAGUAGUGAGAUCACACCUGUGAAUAGCCACUGCACUCCAGCCUGGGCAACAUAGCGAGACCCCAUCUCAA